rnacentral:rRNA from 1 species
GUCCUUAGUUACCAGCACGGUUAUGGUGGGCACUCUAAGGAGACUGCCGGUGGACAAACCGGAGGAAGGUGGGGAUGACGUCAAGUCAUCAUGGCCCUUACGGCCUGGGCUACACACGUGCUACAAUGGUCGGUACAAAGGGUUGCCAAGCCGCGAGGUGGAGCUAAUCCCAUAAAACCGAUCGUAGUCCGGAUCGCAGUCUGCAACUCGACUGCGUGAAGUCGGAAUCGCUAGUAAUCGUGAAUCAGAAUGUCACGGUGAAUACGUUCCCGGGCCUU